UGACCCGGGCCCGGUGGUUGGCGGAGCCAUCAGCUGUGUCGAUCCAGGAUGCCCCCCGGAGGACACGCAUGUCCUGGUCAGUGGCCGGGUACGGUGAUGCCGUCCACUCCCACACGUUGCCCAUGAGGUCAUAGAGCCCUACAGCACAGCAGGGUGGGGGUCAGUCCCAGGCUGGCUAGUACCCGCCCCCCCCCGCCCCCACUUAUGAAGUCUUUAGGGGAGCAAAUGCUUCUCUGGUGGUGUUUCUUUCUGCCUCAUUGAUCAACAGAAUGAUCCCACCAAACAAUUUCAGCUCCCACUCCUCUGCCUUGGACCCCAUGUGCUUCGGUGCCUUGGGAAGAAAGGCUCUCCUCCCCUUCUCUGUGGUCAGCACCACCUGCCAUCUGCAGAACAACCAAUGCCCACCCUGUGCUCUCCUGUAACACCUCUAUCUGUAACACCCUUCUAUCACCAACAGGUGUAACUCUCCCUCGUCUGCCCUGACUCUAUCCUCAUCUGUUCUUACCACCAAAAUUCCUGAAAAAAAAGGACCCUAUAUUUGCUGAUGCAAUGUGUCCAAUGUGUUCAUUCUUCUCAUUAAAACUGGGAUUCAUCUUC